rnacentral:lncRNA from 1 species
GGGAAUGAUUUGCUUUCACGUGGACCCUUCCAGAGUUAUCUCAGUGCUGGGGAUGGGCAAUGGGGGUGCCGGGGUCUCAGUGUACUGGUGAGGUGCUGGGAAGAGAAGGAAUUCACAAUGUUCUUUGACAGAUCAGAUACAAGUAGGAAGAGAAAGAGAAAGUUAGGAUGAAGCUGAAGUUUUGGUUCUGAGCAGUUUCAAGCUUCAAGCUGCCACUACCAGAGAAGGGAAAGACUGAAAGAGAAUUUUUUUUGUACCGGGGAUCGAACUAAGAAAGAAAAUUUUUAAGAGAAUUGAAGCUCAGCUUGGGACAUGUUGGGUCAGAUAUAUUAGAUGCAUAAAAGGAGAGGAAGUGAGGUAUGUGGAUCUGGAGUUUAAGAGAAAGUUCUGGCUGGACAUAUGAGCCUACAGUCACCACCAGACAGAGGGUAUCUGAAGUCAGGAGCCUGAGAAAUAUCCCAAAGGGCAUAAGCUUAACCGGAAAUGGGGUGCAAACCAGCUCCAGAGACUUUGGACCAGGUGUCAGAUUCACCUCCCACGAGACACAGGGUGUAACCUCAGCAACUUAGAUGUCUGUUUGGGCCACAGGGUUGCCCAUUUGGUCAAACAUUAUUCUGGGUCUUUAUGUGACAAUGUUUGGAUGACAUUAAACCUUAAAACCCUGGGAAGGCUAAUAAAGAGACAGAAGAUGUUUCAGUCCAAAUUCUAAAAAAGGGUGGAAAUUCAGAGAAGGCCCCAAACUCAAAAAUGCCGUGGGGAAGCCGGCCAUGGUGGCACACACCUGUGAUCCCAGCACUUGGGAGGCUGAGAUCUCUAAUGGCCCCAUUCGGAUUUUCCUUUGGUGAACUGGCCUACCAUUGCAUCACUCUUGGCCCACCUCUUGCUCUGGGGGAAUCUGUAAGCCAACACUGACCAAUCAACAUAAAUAAUAAAAUAAUAUGAACCCUGAGCCUGUGGCUGAGAAGAAGAAUGUGGUGGGUAAUGAUCUAGGUCAGUGGGAGUGGCGGGCAGGGGCGUUGGUUUUCUCUUCUCUGGGAACCCC